AUCACUAAGCGGAGGAAAAGAAACUAACUAGGAUGGCCUUAGUAAUGGCGAAUGAAGAGGCCAAAGCCCAAGAUGGUAAUCUCUGUGUUUCACACAGCGAGUUGUAAUCUUGAGAGGCAUAGCUUAACGGGUCGUGGCGCAGAAGUGCCUCUGGAACGGACCGCCAUAGAGGGUGACAGCCCCGUACGUGGUGCCGCGACUUACCUAGCUUGUCUUCGAAGAGUCGGGUUGUUUUGUAUUGCAGCCCUAAGUGGGAGAUAAACUUCUUCUAAGGCUAAAUAUAUGUAGGAAACCGAUAGCGAACAAGUACUGUGAAGGAAAGACGAAAAGCACUUUGGAAAGAGAGUUAAAAGACCUGAAAUCGUUGAGACGGAAGGGGUAGAGAAGUAUACUUCGGCACCUAGCGGGGCUAACUUGUUAGGGGUCGUGAGGCCUGAUGGGGUAGUUUUGAUGCAGAGGCUUUGUAUUACCGCUUUCGGGCACCUUUUACAUUUGUCGGUAUCAAUUCUGCCUGAGGGUGCCUUGUGCGAUCAGGUCAAAAUGGUCUUUACCCACUCGUCUUGAAACACGAACCAAGGAGUCUAACGUACACGCGAGUAUGCCGGUGGAGAAACCGUCAUGCAUAAUGAAAGUGAUUGGUGCCAAGCUUACGCAGCAGCAUCGACCGACCCUAAAUAGAGGUUUGAGUAUGAGCGUGUCCGCUAGGACCCGAAAGAUGGUGAACUAUGCCUGAGUAGGGUGAAGCCAGGGGAAACUCUGGUGGAAGCUCGUAGCGAUACUGACGUGCAAAUCGUUCGUCGAACUUGGGUAUAGGGGCGAAAGACUAAUCGAACCAUCUAGUAGCUGGUUCCCUCCGAAGUUUCCCUCAGGAUAGCUGGGACAAUUACGCAGUUUUAUUAGGUAAAGCGAAUGAUUAGAGGAAUCGGGGGCUUCAUGCUCUCGACCUAUUCUCAAACUUUAAAUUGGUAAGAACCUGUGCCUUUCUUAAGUGAGGCAUGGGGCUCAAUGCGUGUCCUUAGUGGGCCAUUUUUGGUAAGCAGAACUGGCGAUGAGGGUUGCUCCUAACGUUGGGUUAAGGCGCCAAAAUGCGCGCUCAUCAGAAACUACAAAGGGUGUUGGUCCAUCCAGACAGCAGGACGGUGGCCAUGGGAGUUGGAAUCCGCUAAGGAGUGUGUAACAACUCACCUGCCGAAUGGACCAGCCCCGAAAAUGGAUGGCGCUCAAGCGCGCUGCCGAUACCCAACCAUUGGUACGAGAGUGAGGUACCAAUGUGUAGGAGGGCGUGGGCGUUGUUUUGAAGCCUCUGGCGUAAGCCUGGGUUGAACAGCGUCUAGUGCAGAUCUUGGUGGUAGUAGCAAUUAUUCAAAUGAGAACUUUGAAGGCCGAAGUGGAGAAGGUUUCCGUGAGAACAGCAAUUGGUCACGGGUGACUCGAGCCUAAGACAUGGGGGAAGUCCCUGUUAAAUGCGCUCUUGCGCUCAGUCGAAAGGGAAUGAGGUUAAUAUUCCUCAAGCUGGAUGUGGGUGUUGUAUGGCAACAUAAGUGAGCGUGGGAACGCCGGCGCGAGCCUCUGGAAGAGUUCUCUUUUCUUUUUAACAAUUCAGUGGCCCUGAGAUGGGAUUAUCCCGAGCUAGGGCGACAAAAUUGGAAGAGCGCCUCGCUUUCCGAGGCGUCAGGUGCGCUCGCGACGGUCCGUGAAAACCCACGUGAGAUAGUUUCACACCAGGUCGUACCCACAACCGC
rnacentral:rRNA from 1 species